UGAAUACGAGACGCUAAGGCGUCGAAGUAGUGUAUGUCAUACUUCCAAGAAAAGCUUGCACUGUCAUAGAUAAAAAACGCCUGUACCAUAACCGACACAGGUGGGUAGGUAGAGUAUACUAAGGGGCGCGACAUAACUCUCUCUAAGGAACUCGGCAAAAUAACUCCGUAACUUCGGGAGAAGGAGUGCCUUAUUCGUAAGGUUGCAAUAACAAGAUCCAAGCAACUGUUUAUCAAAAACACAGGUCUCCGCUAAGUCGUAAGACGAUGUAUGGGGGCUGACGCCUGCCCAGUGCCAGAAGGUUAAAGAAGUUGGUUAGCAAUUGCGAAGCUGAUAACUGAAGCCCUGGUGAACGGCGGCCGUAACGAUAACGGUCCUAAGGUAGCGAAAUUCCUUGUCGGGUAAGUUCCGACCCGCACGAAAGGCGUAAUGAUUUGGAUACUGUCUCGGAGAGGGGCUCGGUGAAAUAGACUUGUCUGUGAAGAUGCGGACUACCUGCACCAGGACAGAAAGACCCUAUGAAGCUUUACUGUAACUUGAAAUUGAAAUUGGACUUUAUUCGCGCAGCAUAGGUGGGGGGCGUUGAUUAUAAUCUUGCGGGAUUAUUGGAGCCAUCAGUGAGAUACCACUCUUGUAAUGUUAGAUUUCUAACUUUGAAUCAUUAUCUGGUCAAAGAACAGUUUCAGGCGGGCAGUUUGACUGGGGCGGUCGCCUCCUAAACGGUAACGGAGGCGUACAAAGGUUUCCUCUGAACGGUUAGAAAUCGUAUCUAGAGUGUAAAGGCAUAAGGAAGCUUGACUGUGAGACCUACAAGUCGAGCAGGGACGAAAGUCGGUCUUAGUGAUCUGACGGUACUGAGUGGAAAGGCCGUCACUCAACGGAUAAAAGUUACUCUAGGAUAACAGGCUGAUCUCCCCCAAGAGUUCACAUCGACGGGGAGGUUUGGCACCUCGAUGUCGGCUCAUCGCAUCCUGGGGCGGUAGUACGUCCCAAGGGUUGGGCUGUUCGCCCAUGAAAGCGGUACGCGAGCUGGGUUCAGAACGUCGUGAGACAGUUCGGUCCAUAUCCGGUGUAGGCGUUAGAAUAUUGAGAGGAGCCUUCUUUAGUACGAGAGGACCGAGAAAGACAUACCUCUGGUGUACCAGUUAUCGUGCCAACGGUAAACGCUGGGUAGCUAUGUAUGGUGUGGAUAACCGCUGAAAGCAUCUAAGUGGGAAGCCCACCUCAAGAUAAGUAUUCUCA
rnacentral:rRNA from 1 species